UAGUCAGCAGUAUGAGUGGUCUGGUCUGCAACAGGCUGGUUGUCAGGUAGUCAGCAGUAUGAGUGGUCUGGUCUGCAACAGGCUGGUUGUCAGGUAGUCAGCAGUAUGAGUGGUCUGGUCUGCAACAGGCUGGUUGUCAGGUAGUCAGCAGUAUGAGUGGUCUGGUCUGCAACAGGCUGGUUGUCAGGUAGUCAGCAGUAUGAGUGGUCUGGUCUGCAACAGGCUGGUUGUCAGGUAGUCAGCAGUAUGAGUGGUCUGGUCUGCAACAGGCUGGUUGUCAGGUAGUCAGCAGUAUGAGUGGUCUGGUCUGCAACAGGCUGGUUGUCAGGUAGUCAGCAGUAUGAGUGGUCUGGUCUGCAACAGGCUGGUUGUCAGGUAGUCAGCAGUAUGAGUGGUCUGGUCUGCAACAGGCUGGUUGUCAGGUAGUCAGCAGUAUGAGUGGUCUGGUCUGCAACAGGCUGGUUGUCAGGUAGUCAGCAGUAUGAGUGGUCUGGUCUGCAACAGGCUGGUUGUCAGGUAGUCAGCAGUAUGAGUGGUCUGGUCUGCAGCAGGCUGGUUUUCAGGUAGUCAGCAGUAUUAGUGGUCUGGUCUGCAACAGGCUGGUUGUCAGGUAGUCAGCAGUAUGAGUUGUCUGGCUGUAGGC